rnacentral:tRNA from 1 species
GGAGAGAUGGCUGAGUGGCUGAAAGCAACGGAUUGCUAAUCCGUCGUGUCGGUAUAACCGGCACCGAGGGUUCGAAUCCCUCUCUCUCCGCCA